UAAUACAUGCAAGUCGAACGGGUGGUAGCAAUAUCACUAGUGGCGCACGGGUGCGUAACGCGUAACCAACCUACCCACAACUGGGGGAUAGCCCGCCGAAAGGCGGAUUAAUACCGCAUACUAUACGGCCACGGCAUCGUGGUUGUAUAAAAGAUUUAUUGGUUGUGGAUGGGGUUGCGUAGCAUUAGCUAGAUGGCGGGGUAAGGGCCCACCAUGGCGACGAUGCUUAGGGGACCUGAGAGGGUGAUCCCCCACACUGGCACUGAGAUACGGGCCAGACUCCUACGGGAGGCAGCAGUAGGGAAUAUUGGGCAAUGGCCGAGAGGCUGACCCAGCCAUGCCGCGUGCCGGAUGAAGGCCUUCUGGGUUGUAAACGGCUUUUCUCAGGGAAGAAAAAGGUUCUGCGAGACAAACUGACCGUACCUGAGAUAGAC
rnacentral:rRNA from 1 species